UGCCGCGUGUGUGACGAAGGCCUUAGGGUCGUAAAGCACUUUCGCCUGUGAAGAUAAUGACUGUAGCAGGUAAAGAAACCCCGGCUAACUCCGUGCCAGCAGCCGCGGUAAUACGGAGGGGGUUAGCGUUGUUCGGAAUUACUGGGCGUAAAGCGCACGUAGGUGGACUAUUAAGUCGAGGGUGAAAUCCCGGGGCUCAACCCCGGAACUGCCUUCGAUACUGGUAGUCUUGAGUUCGAGAGAGGUGAGUGGAAUUCCGAGUGUAGAGGUGAAAUUCGUAGAUAUUCGGAGGAACACCAGUGGCGAAGGCGGCUCACUGGCUCGAUACUGACGCUGAGGUGCGAAAGUGUGGGGAGCAAACAGGAUUAGAUACCCUGGUAGUCCACACCGUAAACGAUGAAUGCCAGUCGUCGGGUAGCAUGCUAUUCGGUGACACACCUAACGGAUUAAGCAUUCCGCCUGGGGAGUACGGUCGCAAGAUUAAAACUCAAAGGAAUUGACGGA
rnacentral:rRNA from 1 species